rnacentral:lncRNA from 12 species
UGAGAACUUCUGGAUUAAAAAAUGGACCUAAAACUAUUUAUUAAAGACAUUCUUAGAGGCUUUCAGGUGCUAAUUGCUGAUUGACACUAAGAGAGGAUAGAUUAUGGAAAGUUACAAAACUUUGGCAAUGAACCCUUUCUUCAUAGAGCUUUUCUUGGAACUAGUUUUCCACAGAAUAGAUUGAGAAAUGCUCCUCUAAUUAGAUGCAAAUUACUUUGUAGGGAAGACUAUUUACUGCUAAUUCCAUCCUCCCCCCCAAAAAAUCUUUAAUCAGAAUGGAAGAAAUAAAAAAUGGCAAGAAGAUGGAAAUUUCACAAAGUGAAGAUACUUAAACAUUGUAAUCUAACUGAAACGGAACAUCAAAAUUCAAGAACGCCCACGGAUAAAGAUAUUUGCCAUAAAAAGGUAUUUUUCAGGCAUCCCUUGGAGAUAUUGGAGACCAUCACAAUAAAGUGAAUAUUACAGUAAGAUGAGUCAAAUCUUUUUUUUGAUUUCUCAGUAUAUAUAAAAGUUAUGUUUACAAUACAUUGCAGCCUGUUAAGUGUUCAAUAGCAUUAUGUCUAAAAAAUGUACAUAUAUUAACUAAAAAUAUUUAAUUGCAAAAUUACUAACCAUCAUCUGAGCUCUCAGGGAGGCAUAAUCUUUGCUGGUGGAAGGUCCUGCCUCAAUGUUGAUGGCUGCUGCUGAAUCACGAUAUGGCUGCUGAAGGUUAGGGGCUGCAGCAAUUCCUUAAAAUAAGACAACAAUGAAGUUUGCUGCAUAAGUUGACUUUUUCUUUCAUGAAUUUUUUGUAGCAUCUGGUGCUAUUUGUAACAUUUUAUUCAUAGAAUUUCUUCCAACCUCUUACCAUGAAUCCUAUAUGUCCUUAACAGCAUCUAGAAUGAUGAAUCCUUUCCAGAACAUUUUCAAUUUACUUUUCCAGAUCCAUCAGAGAAGUCACUGUCUAUGGCAGGAAUAGCCUUAUGAAAUGUAUUGUUUUUUUACCUAAUAAGACUUGAAAGUUGAAAUUACUUCUUGAUCUAUUAUUUACAGAAUGGAUGGUAUAUUAGUAGGCAUGAAAACAACAUUCAUCUUAAUGUAUAUCUCCAUCAGAGCUCUUGGGUGACCAGUGCAUUGUCAAUGAGCAGUAGUAUAUUAAAAGAAAGCUUUUUUCCUGAGCAGCAA